GUGGCAAACAUUCAUAAUACUCUUCCUUCUUUUCCCCACAACAACCACACAAUGAUUUAUACAUCUGAUUCCCAGUAAAACAGCAGUCUCCAAUCUUUGUGCCUUGGCAGCCCGGCUGGGAGCUGGGGGUGGAGGGAAAGGGGAACUGGGUGGCACAAGAAGCAGGAUGGAUGGUGCAUGCACAUGCGCACCCACGCAGUCCUUGCACAAGUGGUGGGCUGGCAUGCAUGCAUGCAGCUUGGCUGCACUCAAGUGCCCAUUGUGUGUAAAAAUAAUUGUAAUAAAAGGAGGGGAAGGGUGAAAAUCAUGUAAAACGUUCUCUCUCACACUGCCUCAAAGCUUGAAGGGAAACAUACCAUUCUGUUCCACUCUAGAUAUUCUGACAACAGCAGUGGGAACCGAAAAGCUCCUAAAGGGAACAUGUUACAUCAACAGAUCCUUGGAAAUCAGUUUGCCAAUUACUUCUCCUAUUCAUGAAAUAAUGAAAAAGAGAUGAUUUGGGUUGUCAAAAGACAUUUUCCAUUCAGAAGUAAGGAAGAAAGAAGUAAGGAAGAACUUUGAUUCAAGUUUUAUCUCUUAUUAUGAUAUAUGCAAAAAUAUUUUUAUGAUUACUGUCUUGUCAUUCCUUUACUCUUAUUUGUAUGUUCUUAUUUUAAAAUUGUACCAUGGUUGUUUUAAAUGGUAUUAUGCCGCUGAGAGCAUUUAAAUUGCAAGAGCAUAGAAAUAUGCUUAAUAAAUAAACAUAUUUGCAUAGUUGGGCAAAUGACUUCUGGAUUUCUGUAUCUGCAAAUACAACUUGCUUUGAAGAUUUUUCAGUGUGCCAUGGUAGGGCAUAUUGGAGGUGCUUUUAAAAUAUUUUUGUUAUUUAUGCCAACAGAAUGUUGUUCAGUGGGAAGAGAAAAUCGCUGUAGUACACCUUUAUACAUUAUUCAGAGUCCUAGUUAAAGAUUGAGAGCGGUCAGAGAGAGAAUAAUAAACUUGACACAGUACAGAUCUCUUGUGGAAAACACUGGACCAAAGAAAGGAGACAGCGGCAAUAUAAAUCAUUCAGGCUGGCACACGCUAAAAAAUGAAAAUCAUGCCUAUAGGGGAAGGAGACUAAAACAUCUAAGGCAAGCUAUAACAUAUCUCAGAAUCAGUUUUCCAAGUAAGCAUGGUUAAGUGCAGGCUGCUACUCUUACACAGGAUAUACUGAUGCUCUCUUCUGGUAGGAAUUGUUGCGUUUUGGAACAGGCUGGAGAUGCGUAAGAAGCUUGCUUGCUUGCUUACUUGCUUGUGGAUGCAUGUCGCCUCUUAAGUUCAGUGUUUUCUGUGCUCAGAUGCAACUGACCUAACUUUUACACCAGCAGUUCACUUAAACUACUCUAAAUACUUAGGUAAAGUAGCCAUAUUAAAGAUGAAAGUUCCCUCACUUGGGCUGCAUUCUUGACAGUUCAUGUAGGUUUUUUUGAAAAUAACAUAGAUGUAGCAUAUUAUUGCAUACUGCUAUUCUUUCAGAUCAUUUUUAACCUCAUUGUCUACCCAAAGCCUUGGAGUUUCCUGGUAAUGUCCAUCUACCUAUCAACCAUAUCUGACAUGCUCAGGGUGUCUAAGAUCAGACAAAGUUAAUUAGGCAUUGCCAUUGCUGUAUAGAUAAUAAAUUCAAUGCAAGGAUUUUGUGUACAGUAGUGUAUAGCAGAUAUCAUAAUACGUUGAUUAGUGUUUUAUCAAUUGUAAUGUAUCAGGCUCUUUAUUGUUUUAAUUAAAAUGCACAAGACUCAUUCUGGCUUGCCUUAUUAGAAAGGAAGAAGGCACUCUCUAAUAAUGCAGCACUUUGAUGAAUAGCAAGAAGUGUACAAAUUCACCUUGGGUCCCAUUCUGAGGCACUGGCAAUCUGCACUCCAUUGAAUAUGCAUUUUAAGUCUGGCUCUUAAAAGAGAAUAUAAUCAUUCACAGUAAGCUAAAAUAAAUUUCCAGAAAGAAAGAAAGAAAAAAAAAGAAAGCAUAUUACAGAGAAAGCAAUGAAACUCACUUAAGUAGCAAAAUAUAAAAGAGGAAUUUGGAAUUCAUAGAGUAAUUUGUUUGCUGGAUUUAUUAUAGUUUAUGUUCACUUGCCUACAUUUCAAACCGAAAUAAUUUUCUGUCACUCUUUUGGUUUUAGAAUAAGUGCCAGGCUGCUCAAAUAAGGAUAGGCUGAGAGAUUAUGAAAAAGGUAACUUACAUUUGAAUACAGUCCCUUAUAGGCAGCUCAAUACCAGUAGAAGAAUAAUAUUUACAGUACAGUAUUUACAACAUUUAGAAUGAAACAGAAUCUCAUGCUGUUCUUCUCCACAUCCUGAAUGGUCACAUUUUCCUCUCAGAUAUAAUGUACAAUUAUUAACCUGUGUCAAAGAUCUUGAUUUGGAGGCAAACCAUAAUUGUAAGGCACAUUGAAACAGAGGUUGUUUUCUCCUUAAACAAGUCAUUUUCUAAUUACUUAUC